rnacentral:rRNA from 1 species
UACGAACUGUGCAAACGUUAUUCGGAUUCACUGGGCUUAAAGGGUGCGUAGGCGGCCAUGUAAGUAGGGUGUGAAAUCCCUCGGCUUAACCGGGGAACUGCGUCUGAUACUGGAUGGCUUGAGUGUGGGAGAGGGAUGCGGAAUUCCCGGUGUAGCGGUGAAAUGCGCAGAUAUCGGGAGGAACACCGGUGGCGAAGGCGGUUCUCUGGGCCUGUACUGACGCUGAGGAGCGAAAGCGUGGGGAGCAAACAGG